rnacentral:rRNA from 1 species
AGUGCUUUAGUUUGACACCCCGAAACUAGGGGAGCUACUCCAAGACAGCCUAUUUAUAGGGCGAACCCGUCUCUGUGGCAAAAGAGUGGAAUGAGCUUUGAGUAGAGGUGAUAAACCUACCGAACCUAGUUAUAGCUGGUUGCCCAAGAAAUGAAUAGAAGUUCAGCCUCCCGGAUUCUCCCUUCACCUCAGAGACACAAGCCCCUGAUAUAUUAAGAAACCGUGAGAGUUAUUCAAAGGGGGUACAGCCCCUUUGAAACAAGACACAACUUUCCCAGGAGGGUAAAGAUCACAAUAACACAAGGUAAGCAACUCUCGGGGGCCCGAAAGCAGCCACCCCCUGAAGAAAGCGUCUAAGCUCGGAACAAUCUUACCCCUCCCCCAAUCCUGAUCAUUUAAUCUUAUCCCCCUAAACUUAUUGAGCCAUCCCAUGCACCCAUGGGAGUGACCAUGCUAAUAUGAGUAAUAAGAAAGCCCAGGCUUUCUCCCGCACGCAUGUAAAUCGGAAUGGCCCCCCACCGAAUAUUACGGCCCCAAACAAAGAGGGCAGUGGGGAGAACACUACACACCAAGAAAAACCCCCAACAAACAACCGUUACCCCAACACAGGUGUGCCCCCAGGGAAAAACUAAAAGGGUGAGAAGGAACUCGGCAAACACAUAAAGCCUCGCCUGUUUUACCAAAAACAUCGCCUCUUGCAAAUAAUGAAUAAGAGGUCCCGCCUGCCCUGUGACUAUAAGUUUAACGGCCGCGGUAUUUUGACCGUGCAAAGGUAGCGCAUUCACUUGUCUUUUAAAUGAAGACCUGUAUGAAUGGCUCAACGAGGGCUUAACUGUCUCCUCUUUCAAGUCAAUGAAAUUGAUCUCCCCGUGCAGAAGCGGGGAUAUAAACAUAAGACGAGAAGACCCUAUGGAGCUUUAGACACCAAAGAAGAUCCUGUCAAGUAACCCCUUAUAAGGGCCUAAACUAAUGGAAUCCUUCCCUAAUGUCUUUGGUUGGGGCGACCGCGGGGAAACAAAAAACCCCCACGUGGAAAGGGAGCACCCCCUCCUACAACUAAGAGCCGCAGCUCUAAUUAACAGAAUAUCUGACCAAUAAGAUCCGGCAAUGCCGAUCAACGGACCGAGUUACCCUAGGGAUAACAGCGCAAUCCCCUUUUAGAGCCCAUAUCGACAAGGGGGUUUACGACCUCGAUGUUGGAUCAGGA